rnacentral:lncRNA from 1 species
GUGGGACCCUCGGGGGGCGGCGUGGGACCCCCAACUCCGGGCGGGCAGUGCGAGAGAACCGGGGGGUGCCGCUGGAAGGGUCUGGGGGCGAUGGGGUGGGGGGGCACGGAGAGGGGGGCUGGAGGCUGGCAGGGCGGGGACCCCCGGUGGCAGCAGUGGGGUGACCCUGCUGUGUCCCGCAGGUGCCGUCCGGAGGUGCCGGGCCCCCCAAAACACCCAGCCCAGCUCGGGUACCACAGGCGGGGCCGAGCAGCAUCUUCUCCUGCAUCCCUGAGCACGUCAGGCGCCCGUCCAUCCUCGGGGACAGGCCGUGCUCAGGCCCGGCCACCGCUGACCUCUGCGCUCCGACCUCCGACGCCUUCGGGAUCCCUUCUCCAGGGAAUUCAGCCCAUCCAGGCCCGCUCGGCCCGUCCUACCUAUGGAGAUGCUUCAUGGACCGUCAGCAAACAGCACGCGCGGGCCCCUCCCGGCGUGGAGCACCGCUGGAUGAGCUCUCGGAGAAGUCCUGGCGUGGUUUCCAAGCAAGGCCGGGCUGCCUGCAGCGAUUUUAGCGCCCUGCUCCCUCUCCUGAGCCGUGCCAGCCGCUCCUGGAUCCCCUGGGAUGUUCUCCCUUGAGCUCCAAGCAGCAGCCACCGACCUGGACAGAGCCCGCGGGGAUUAUUGCGGAGCUGCUGGGAAGGAGCUCCCGCUGGUGGGGCUGUCCUGGGGCAGAUGAGCGAGCCGGUGAUGAACGGGAGGGUGCCCCUGCCGGAGAAAGCUUUGUCCGAGGGCUACGCCCGCCUCAGGUACCGGGACACCUCCCUGCUCAUCUGGCAGCAGCAGCAGCAGAAACUGGAGUCGGCUCCCCCCAACACCUACCUGAGCCGCAGCAGGAGCAUGUGGUACUCGCAGUACGGCAACGAGGCCAUCCUGGUGCGGGACAAAAACAAGCUGGAUGUCUCCAGGGACACGGGGCAGUCCAAGUUUUGUGCUAUUAUGUAAUUCCCCGUAGGAAUCCACACGUGGAGAGGAAGCGGAGCUGGGGGAGGCGGGUGUGCACCACCCUCUCACAGCCCCGCAGGAAGGCUGAAGUUGGAUUGUUUCUGUUUGAUUUUGCUGUUUAUAGACUCCCAUUCUGCAUGUCAGCCAGUGUGUGCAGCAAACCCAGUCUGGCUGGGGAGCCCUCGAGCCUGCUGCUGCCCAGCAUCUUGGCAGGGGCCGUGCUGGACCGUGUGUUGCUUCUAAGAGGCUCGUGUGCCCUGAGAAACACCCGCUGGCACCUGGGCACGUCCCCAGCCACCCUUCCUGGCCAGUCCUGGUGCAUUUCCAGAGCUCUGGGAAUGCUGGUGGGACAGAGGCGAGCACAGAUCUGUUCCCAUCAAGGCUGUGGCUUUAAGAAGUUGAUCUCCAAAACCAUCUGGCCAUUACUUGUUCUGUUUGCCCUGUCUUUAAUUCCUGCCCUGAAGUGGUCUCUUCCAGCCAGGGAAUGGAGUGGGUUUGUUGUGGGAACAGGGAGAGAAUGUGUUGAGAAUUUAAUCCGAGCCUUCAAAACACCUGGUAGGGGAAGGUGUGCUGGAGUUUCAUGCAAAGCCAAGGCCCUUCUCUGAUCCCACGGUGUGGGAUCAUGGAAAUAACAGGAGCUUUGGAGUCAGGGGAGCUGACUCCUUUCGGGAACAGAUCCCCCAUGAACCACCCAAAAGGGAGGGACAGGCCCAGGAAAGCAACAGCAAGAGCCCCCUGUAAAUACACACACGUGCUGAAGCUCCUGCACAGCACAGAGCCACUCCUGAGAUGGGCUGCACAAGGACAGAGGCCACUGGAGUUUGCUUUGCAUUCAAGUUUUAACGCAUGCAGUAGCUUGGAAGGGUUUAACUUCUAGUUCAGGUUGGAUUGUAGGUUUGGUGCAUGUACUUUAAAAGUUGUGUCUGGGAUUGUUACAAUUAACCGGAGGAUUUUAGGAGGGAGAAGCAUUGCCCUGCUUGGGCACAGAGGCUGCUGCUUUCAGGUUGAAGUUUCUGCUGAAUCCUGACUUUUCACGCUGAGAAACUCAGCCCAGCAAGGACCUGAAUCUUUGUUAGAAACAAAACUACUACUUCCAGGGGUGGGAAU